rnacentral:rRNA from 1 species
AGUGAACGCUGGCGGUAGGCCUAACACAUGCAAGUCGAACGGCAGCACAGUAAGAUCUUGCUCUUACGGGUGGCGAGUGGCGGACGGGUGAGGAGUACAUCGCAAUCUACUUUUUCGUGGGGGAUAACGUAGGGAAACUUACGCUACUACCGCAUACGACCUACGGGUGAAAGCAGUGGAUCUUCGGACCUUGCGCGAUUGAAUGAGCCGAUGUCGGAUUAGCUAGUUGGCAGGGUAAAGGCCCACCAAGGCGACGAUCCGUAGCUGGUCUGAGAGGAUGAUCAGCCACACUGGAACUGAGACACGGUCCAGACUCCUACGGGAGGCAGCAGUGGGGAAUAUUGGACAAUGGGCGCAAGCCUGAUCCAGCCAUACCGCGUGGGUGAAGAAGGCCUUCGGGUUGUAAAGCCCUUUUGUUGGGAAAGAAAAGCAGCAGGUUAAUACCCCGCUGUUCUGACGGUACCCAAAGAAUAAGCACCGGCUAACUUCGUG